ensembl:lncRNA
GAUUAAAGGAAAAAACCCUCAUAGCUGCUCAUCAAAUGAUACAUAAAGUAAGCCAGCUGGCAUUGUGCCUGGGAAGCUAUCUGAGUAGGGUUGCAUCGACAAACGUGAACAGGGAAUACCGAAGUCGGGAUCCCUCCAGAUGAGGAAGACCAUGGUGUCAACUUGAGCUUCAGCGAUGGAUAGAAAGCAAAGAUCAGGGCUGGUCAAGCCCAGAGGGGAAAAGAGCAGUGGGCCAACCUCAGCUGACCGCAGCACCCGGUUCGUCCUGCUGCAGCCAGCCUGAGAGCUGGAGCCUGGAGGAAAAGCUGCAGGAAGAGGCUGGGAGAGGCACAGGGCUGUUGGUGCGCAUUGGGCUGGUGGGUCCCUCCCUCUGCUCUCCAUCAAGAAGCAGAGUUGCUAAUGAAGAACCCAUUUAUGCUCAUGAGAGCUUUCUUCCCCUCACAGCUGCUGGGGCAGGCUUGCUGUACACAGCUCGUCUGAUCUUGCCGGGCCCUUUGGGACAGCACGGGGCAGGGCUGGGGGCUGGCCAGACCUCAGGGGCAUCUCUCCUACCCAGACAGGGGAUGUUUGCUCCUGUUCUGAAAAAAGGACAAAGAAGGAAUCAAUUUGUCAAAAACCUCUUAAUGAGCCAUUGAAGACAGCUCAGCCAAGCCAGCCAAUCUCUCCUGCAGAGUGCCGAGCUGCUCAUUGCUUGACACCUCCAGGUGCUUUUACACCUUUCUCACCCUUGGCCAGCAGCUCUGCCACUGGACAGGAGCACCAGAAGCCAGCAGCCCUGCCUGCCACCUUCAUGCUUUGCUUUUCGUCGCACUGCAAUUGCACAUUGCAGGAGCGCUCUGCCUGCCAGCUGCUGCUGUCCUGGCCCCAACACUGCCCAAAAGGUGCCUUUGGGACCAAGCCAGCCCCAGGGCUUUCACAGGGCCAUCCGCCAUGGGGCAGUGACAGGAAGGAGCACACAGCCCCUGAGGAUGGGAGAGCUGGUGCCGGCAACAGGAGGGUGUCUGCAAGCACCUAGAGCUGCUUUGGUGAGCUGAUAGCAUUUCAGGUCCCUAUGGAAAACAGAGAAAAGGUUCAAACACUUAAUCUGCAGGUGGAUUUUCCUGGUUAUAGGCAGAUGUAGUUCCCUUUCCUCCUGCCUCUAAAAGCAGGUGUGGUAGCAGAGAGCAGAGCCUUUCAUGGGCAAAAAAGAGCCAUGGAGCUGAGCAAGGCAGGAGGAGUCAGGUGGCUUCCCAAGGGAACUCUGGAGCCAGGCAGUGGCUUGGAGCCUCCCUGGAGGAUCCUCUAGUUCAGAGAGGCUCCUUGGAAGAGUCCAUCAUUUCCAAACACACCGGAAGGACUUUGCCAUGGGAAGAGACUGUGCUCUCUGAGUGAAUUUAGCACCCAAGGGUGACACUUCUUUGCCAGGGACACACUCUGCUAUUUUUAAGCUGCAUGUGUGAAUGGAAAUGGAGAUCAAUAUGUACUGCAAAGAGGAGCAGAGUUUUACCAACCACUUGUGGUUGACAAUUUAACUUAGCAGCUUCCUCCUCCGUCUCCUCUGUUGCAUUGACUGAAAGCCUCCUGGUGCCCAGGAAUUUGAUUCUCCAUCAUGCCUUGUUUAGGUAUUCCAGCUCCUGUAUUAGUACAUGUACAGCAUGCUUGAUAAGCUCUUUUUUUGUUUUUUCCUUUUCCUUUUUUUUUUCCUUUUUUUUCUUUUCCCCCACUAGGGGAAAAGCACAAGUUAAGUGAUCAGAAGCAAGAUGGAUUAGUUGUUCAGAGCAGGCACCACAACCUUUAUUCUUCAAUGACAAACACACUUAAAGAUCUUCCAGAAAAAGGACUCAUCUGGGUAGUCAAAGGAGAGCAGCCCUGUUCCUUGAAUGGGAAUGGGUUGGAGGAGCUACCUGGAAGGGUUCACUGGGCUGUGAGCGUGGCCACAACAUGCGGCUCUCAGUCUAUUGAGGUCUUGUAGGGAUGCCCUGCCACUGCACACUGGGCUCGGAGCCUCGCUGAAGCAUGGAGGAGCAGAGCUCAGC